rnacentral:rRNA from 1 species
CAUCGGGCUAAUAUCCCGGUGUCUUGACGGUACUGCCUUAGCAAGCAUCGGCUAACUCUGUGCCAGCAGCCGCGGUAAGACAGAGGAUGCGAACGUUGCUCGGAUUUACUGGGCGUAAAGCGCGUGUAGGCGGUCUCGUUAGUCGGGUGUGAAAGCCCCGGGCUCAACCCGGGAAGUGCACCCGAUACUGCGAGACUGGGGUACUGAAGAGGAGAGCGGAAUUCCCGGUGUAGAGGUGAAAUUCGUAGAUAUCGGGAGGAACACCAGUGGCGAAGGCGGCUCUCUGGGCAGAUACCGACGCUGAGACGCGAAAGCGUGGGGAGCAAACAGGAUUAGAUACCCUGGUAGUCCACGCUGUAAACGAUGACGACUGGGUGUUGCAGGUAUUGACCCCUGCGGUGCCGAAGCCAACGCGUUAAGUCGUCCGCCUGGGAAGUACGGCCGCAAGGCUAAAACUCAAAGGAAUUGACGGGGGU